rnacentral:rRNA from 1 species
CAGCAGCCACGGGAAUACGUAGGGUGCAAGCGUUAAUCGGAAUUACUGGGCGUAAGGCGUGCGCAGGCGGUUUGUUAAGACAGAUGUGAAAUCCCCGGGCUCAACCUGGGAACUGCAUUUGUGACUGGCAGGCUAGAGUAUGGCAGAGGGGGGUGGAAUUCCGCGUGUAGCAGUGAAAUGCGUAGAUAUGCGGAGGAACACCGAUGGCGAAGGCAGCCCCCUGGGCCAAUACUGACGCUCAUGCACGAAAGCGUGGGGAGCAAACAGGAUUAGAUACCCCCGUAGUCCCUGUCUCUUAUAC